rnacentral:tRNA from 1 species
GGGCUGUAGCUCAGUGGUAGAGUGCUUGCCUAGCACAUGUGAGGCACCGCAUAAAAAUAAAUAAAAUAAAAGUAUUCUGUCCAUCUACAACAAAACAAUUUUUAAAAGAAAGAAAAGAACUAUGUUUUACAAGCCUGAAUAUCUUUUACUUCUUAGAAUUUUAAAAAACACUUAUUAGGGGCUGGGGUUGUAGCUCAGUGAUUGAACACUUGCCUCUCAUGCAUAAGGCAUCAGGUUCAAUCCUCAGCACCA